rnacentral:rRNA from 1 species
UGCUAGCGUAUAUUAUUGAUGUUGCAGUUAAAACGUUCGUAGUCAACCGUUGUCCGACAAAAUAGACGACGCUUUUGGCAUUAUCUAUUGUCGUCGGAUAAUGCGAGGCUUCAAGGUUUUAAACCUUGUUUACUUCGCCUUUACUUUGAGUGAAUCGGCGUGUUCAACGCAGGCGACAGCCAUGAACGAUUUACCAUAGAAUAAAGAUAUUGUAAUAUCAGUACUCCGUCCACGCGGUAUUGGUAUUAAUAGAUAUGAGAACGGUUGAGGACAUUCAUAUUCAACUGCCAGAGGUGAAAUUCUUUGAUUAGUUGAGGAUGAACAAUGGCGAAAGCAUCUGUCCAAGACGUUUNUGUCGA